rnacentral:rRNA from 1 species
UACGUAGGUGGCUAGCGUUGUCCGGAUUUACUGGGCGUAAAGAGCGCGCAGGCGGUCGUUCAAGUCGAGUGUGAAAGCCCCCGGCUCAACUGGGGAGGGUCACUCGAUACUGAUCGACUCGAAGGCAGGAGAGGGAAGCGGAAUUCCAGGUGUAGCGGUGAAAUGCGUAGAUAUCUGGAGGAACACCGGUGGCGAAGGCGGCAUCCUGGACCGGUAUUGACGCUGAGGCGCGAAAGCCAGGGGAGCAAACGGG